GAUGAACGCUGGCGGCGUGCCUAAUACAUGCAAGUCGAGCGAACAGACGAGGAGCUUGCUCCUCUGACGUUAGCGGCGGACGGGUGAGUAACACGUGGAUAACCUACCUAUAAGACUGGGAUAACUUCGGGAAACCGGAGCUAAUACCGGAUAAUAUAUUGAACCGCAUGGUUCAAUAGUGAAAGACGGUUUUGCUGUCACUUAUAGAUGGAUCCGCGCCGCAUUAGCUAGUUGGUAAGGUAACGGCUUACCAAGGCAACGAUGCGUAGCCGACCUGAGAGGGUGAUCGGCCACACUGGAACUGAGACACGGUCCAGACUCCUACGGGAGGCAGCAGUAGGGAAUCUUCCGCAAUGGGCGAGAGCUUGACGGAGCAACGCCGCGUGAGUGAUGAAGGUCUUCGGAUCGUAAAACUCUGUUAUUAGGGAAGAACAAAUGUGUAAGUAACUAUGCACGUCUUGACGGUACCUAAUCAGAAAGCCACGGCUGACUACGUG
rnacentral:rRNA from 1 species